CACAUCGAUAGAGGUCGCAACUGAUAUGAAUCUACGCCGAGUUGGAGCACAACAAAGACGCGUAUUUAGAGGAGGAGAGGUUGCCGAAAGAAUUUUGUUGCUCAGCAAGGUUCUUGGGCUAGUGAGAAAAACUCACUAGACUGUCGCAAAUGGUUAAUAACCAUGCGGAGGGCUAUUCGUUCA
rfam:Lactococcus lactis subsp. lactis Il1403, complete genome.